rnacentral:misc_RNA from 1 species
GAUGAAGAACGUAGUGAAAUGCGAUACGUAAUGUGAAUUGCAGAAUUCAGUGAAUCAUCGAGUCUUUGAACGCACAUUGCGCCCCCUGGUAUUCCGGGGGGCAUGCCUGUCCGAGCGUCAUUGCUGCCCUCAAGCACGGCUUGUGUGUUGGGCCUCCGUCCUCCUCCCGGGGGACGGGCCCGAAAGGCAGCGGCGGCACCGCGUCCGGUCCUCGAGCGUAUGGGGCUUCAUCACCCGCUCUUGUAGGCCCGGCCGGCGCUUGCCGACACAUCAAUCUUUUUUCCAGGUUGACCUCGGAUCAGGUAGGGAUACCCGCUGAACUUAAGCAUAUCAAUAAGCGGAGGA